rnacentral:misc_RNA from 1 species
GAUGAAGAACGUAGCGAAAUGCGAUAAGUAAUGUGAAUUGCAGAAUUCAGUGAAUCAUCGAAUCUUUGAACGCACAUUGCGCCCGCUAGUAUUCUGGCGGGCAUGCCUGUUCGAGCGUCAUUUCAACCAUCAAGCCCUUUAGCUUGUGUUGGGGACCUGCGGCUGCCGCAGCCCCCGAAAUGCAGUGGCGGGCUCGUUGUCACACCGAGUGCAGUAAUCAUUCUUCUCUCCGGGCGUGGCGGCGGGUUCCGGCCGUAAAAUCACCAAUUUAUCAAGGUUGACCUCGGAUCAGGUAGGAAUACCCGCUGAACUUAAGCAUACAAUAAGCGGAGGA